rnacentral:lncRNA from 1 species
UUAAUUAUUAUUUUUACUCGUGUUUAAUUUACAUGACCUCGUCUUUUAUUUAAUCGUUCUAGCUGUUUAGAAUUACCCAAAAAACUAUGCAUAUACAUUACUUCUGUUUUGACAUUAGACGUCACGUAACUAAACAAAAAUAAAAAAUCUAGGCAUGCAUACAUCGACAAUUAAAAAGAAAAAAAAAACGUUUACAUGCAUGCAUGAUGCAUACAUACAUAUUCAAAACAUAAUUGCAUGCAUAGAUAAUCAUGAUUAAUUAAUUACUCUUCGGACAGACACAUGAAAUAUUCAAAAUAUAUACGUCGACAAAAAAUAAUGAGUUUUGAGUGACAUUUUGAAAUAUAUAUUUCAUUAUUUCUCCACCAAGAACUGUAGUGCACAACGGGUAUAGGAGACUAGCUAGGAGUAGGACCAUUUUUAUCCGUUAAUUAAAUUUUCCUGUAAUCUUAUCCUUUAUCCUUGAUAUUUGUAUUAUAUAAUAUAUAUCUAUGUCCAUUCGUCUCACUUUUUUUUUUUUUUUUAAUGUGGUCAUCUCUAUUCUCUAAAUAUAAGAACCAAAACGAUAUGAUGUCCGUCUCUGCAUAUCUUAUUCGACUACCCAAUUUUAAAUACUAUACGUGAUUAAAAAAAGAAGACAGUUAUAGUAAAUAAUAAGUGACAAACAUGCACAAAUCACAUAUCUAUAUUGUAAAACAGUUAAGUUUUUUUUAAAAAAAAAAAAAAAAAAACAGUUAAGUUUGUGAAACAGUUAAGUUUUAGCUAUAUUGUAAUAUUGAUCGAUAAAAUUAAAAUCGUAAACCUAUUUGACACACUCUCUUUUCUGGUAUCACCUAUUUGAC